CCUUUUCUUACUGCGCGAUGACCGUGUGGACGAGCAACGUCAUUUAGUCAGGAAACAUCGAGAGAAGCACGAAUGAUGAACUGACAACUUUCAAUCGCCCUCAGCGUGCGGGUCUGUGAUGGCUCAUGAAGAACCGGUGUCUCAUCCAGAGUGUUCCCCGUCUCAUGCCCCCUGCUUCUAGGACAGCCUUUGGACCACUCUGAACCUGCAUUAGGACAACCGGUUACUAACAACAGGUCGCUGUCACCUUCCUGUCAGUCAACAGUGAGAGGAUGCACACUGUGCACGGAGAGGAUGAGGACUGACUAUUUUAUACAUGAACUUCAACAGUUAUUUUCCCCCGGACAAGAAAACAGAAGAUGAAAGCCUUACUGCUAGAUGGACAAAACAAAUUUGAAAAGCAGUCUUAGGGAAAUCCAUCAGCUCUUUACCCAACAUUAGUGUGGUUUGUCUAUGCAUUCCAUCACAUUCUCACUGUGAAAAGUUAAAUAGUGUAAAUAAACUGGUGAAUUCUAGAUUUUAGUGGUUAGAUCUGCUGCCUUUGGACCCAGAGACAGCAGUUUUGGAUCCCACCUCC